rnacentral:lncRNA from 1 species
UUGAAAUGAUUCCUAUGUCCGAGCCAGAGCCACUACCGUUGUCAAACCCCUAAAAAGAAAGUGUUUACAUCAUCAAAUUAGGUAACCUAUAUAAACCCAACUGCUAAUAAUACAGUACAAUUUUAGCUUUCCCAAAAACAAAACAAAAAUAAGGGUUACCUCCGGAGCGUCCGACACUAAUUCAUUACUUGGCUCUGCUUGAAAAUUCUCCAUAUUUUAUAUAUCCAUUCUGCAGACUGUAAUAUACAUAAAAAAAUUAAUCAUCAAGUUAUGCUUAAUUUUAGUUAAAUGAUUCAGAAACUGCAAGAAGCCAGAUUCAUCUACACAACUUGAAGUUGUCGUGUUUUUAACUUUAGGUUGAAAUAUAUAUAUAUGAUCAGUUGUGUGGGUUAUGCGCACAAAGGGUCAAAUCCAGCAAAAUACGAAGACACACCAAGGUUAAAUCCAAAUAAAUAUCUGAAUUAAUUUCAAAAUCUGAAUUUUAACAAAGUUAAUUCAAAAAUCAAUGGAGCUUGUGUAAAGAAGUCUGAUUUUAACAAAUUAAUUCGACAUAUACCAAUCAUCACCAUUUCAGUUUCAAAUUCAAAUUCAACAACAGAUAAGUGUAAAAUCAUACCUUGUUUUGUGUAAGAUAGAAGAUUGGUGACAGAUCUAUAGGGUUUUGCUUGAUUCACCAACAAAAUUUAGAUUGCCGGAGUGGUUGUUGAAACUCGGAACCUUGUCGCUGGAGAAGAUGAAGUGAGGUGGCCCGGUUAAAAAAAACGCCGAAGAAGAUGAUGUGCGGUGGUCGUCUGAGGCUCUUGGAAUGAAUGAAUGAAGUGAGGUCUUGGAGAAAAUAACACGAAUGAAUGAAUGAAGUGAGGUCUUGGAGAAAAUAACGAAGAAAUUAAUGAAGGAAGGAAAGAAGUGAGGUCUUGGAUCAG